UAGGGAAUUUUCCACAAUGGACGAAAGUCUGAUGGAGCAACGCCGCGUGCAGGAUGAAUGCCUUCGGGUUGUAAACUGCUUUUAUAUGUGACGAUUAUGACGGUAGCAUAUGAAUAAGGAUCGGCUAACUCCGUGCCAGCAGCCGCGGUCAUACGGAGGAUCCAAGCGUUAUCCGGAAUUACUGGGCGUAAAGAGUUGCGUAGGUGGCAUAGUAAGUAGAUAGUGAAAGCGUGGGGCUCAACCUCAUAUCCAUUAUUUAAACUGCUAAGCUAGAGGGCGAGAGAGGUUACUAGAAUUCCUUGUGUAGGAGUGAAAUCCGUAGAUAUAAGGAGGAAUACCGAUGGCGUAGGCAGGUAACUGGCUCGUCCCUGACACUAAGGCACGAAAGCGUGGGGAGCGACCGGGAUUAGAUACCCCGUUAGUCCACGCCGUAAACGAUGGAUGCUAGCUGUUAUGCGUAUCGACCCGCGUAGUAGCGAAGCUAACGCG
rnacentral:rRNA from 1 species